rnacentral:tRNA from 1 species
AUUAUAUUGGCAGACUAGUGCAUUGAAUUUAGAAUUCAAAUAUAUAAGAAUAUUAUAUAUAAUA